GCAUGGCAUGCAUCGAUCACAUACUAACCUGUUGGAUGUUUCGUGGGUGGGUUUCCCCUCAUGAGCUGAUGGCUUGAUGGUGGUGGUUGAUCUUCCGAUGGGACGGUGCAUGAGUGGUGACUAGGACAUGCUUUUAUGCAGGCUUUGCGUAUCAUACGUCGAACUGUGUGAAGCUGUCCGUUUCAGAAGUCCAGUGCUUCGGCUUGUCUUUGCUCGUUGCAAAAUGAUUGUGCGGUUUCUGUGCUAGCUAUCGAUUUUGGUAUGCGGGAUUCAUUGAAUCCAUUAUGUGUUUCUUCUUUCCGCAAUUGGCUUGUUCGGUGAAGGUGGACGUUGCAUUGGUCCCCUGUGUUCCACGCAAGUUAUCCCUCAAUGGUAGUGGAUUUGUGAUGGCUCAUGGGUGGCUGUUUAUGCUCUUGGAUAUGCGAAAUGUUUGGUUGUCGUUUGGGUCCCUGACCUAUUCGUAUCAUUUCUUGAGCAUGUAGCCUUAUUUUGUAUGACCCUCGAGUGUGUUCCUGAGCUCAUUGAGUCUUAGAGCUCGUUGUUCGUCAUGGAGAUGCCGAGGUCUUCGAGGAAUGC
rnacentral:misc_RNA from 2 species